GCGGGAGUUGCAUAGUGGUAGUGCUCCAGCCUUCCAAGCUGGAAGCGGGGGUUCGAUUCCCCUCUCCCGCU
rnacentral:tRNA from 1 species